rnacentral:misc_RNA from 1 species
GCCAAGCCGUAAAAAAUCAACUUACACUAACUAGCGCCAGGGAAUUACGAGUUAAACUUAAAACCCAAAGGACUUGACGGUGUCCUACCCCCUACUAGAGGAGCCUGUUCUAUAACCGAUAAUCCACGUUAUACCUAACCACCCCUUGCUUAUCAGCCUGUAUACCUCCGUCGCAAGCUUACCAUGUGAACGCAUAACAGUAGGCUCAAGGACUUAACGCCACAACGUCAGGUCAAGGUGCAGCUCAUGAGGUGGAAAGUAAUGGGCUACAAUCUCUAAAUUAGAACAAACGAAAAACUACAUGAAACAUAGACAUGAAGGUGGAUUUAGUAGUAAAUAAGGAAUAGAGAGCCUUAUUAAACUUGGCCCUGGGACGUGUACAAACCGCCCGUCACCCUCUUCAAUAGCCAUUAACAGCUUAAUAACCCCACCCUGCAAAUCAGAAGAGGCAAGUCGUAACACGGUAAGUGUACUGGAAAGUGCACUUGGCAUAACAAAAUGUAGCUUACUAAAGCCUUUCGCUUACACCGAGAAAACAUCUGUGCAACCCAGAUCAUUUUGAGCCUAUAACCCAGCCUAAAUAUACUUAAUAAUAUACCUUUCAAAUCUUCUUUUAAUUAAAACAUUUUAACUGUUUAGUAGAGGCGAUCAAAAACAUUUUAGCGCUUAAGAAAUAGUACCGUGAGGGAAAGAUGAAAUAAAAAUGAAAUAAAUUAAAAGCAUUUAAUAGCAGAGAUUAUUACUCGUACCUUUUGCAUUAUGGUCUAGCUAGUCUAAUCAAGCAAAACGAAAAUUUCAGUUUGCCACCCCGAAACUAAGCGAGCUACUUCAAAACAGCCUUAGAGCUAACCCAUCUCUGUAGCAAUAGAGUGGGAAGAUUUUCAAGUAGAAGUGAUAAACCUACCGAGCUUAGAGAUAGCUGGUUAUUCAGAAAAAGAAUAUUAGUUCUGCCUCAAAUCUCACACCUGCUGAUUAACAACCCCAAAGAUUUUAGAGUUAUUCAAAUAAGGAACAGCUUAUUUGAAAAAGGGCACAACCUAAAUAAUAGGGUAAACUCCUUCCCCCUUUUAACAAGUGGGCCUAAAAGCAGCCACCUUUUAAAAAGCGUUAAAGCUUAAUUUAACCCUAUAAAAAUAUCCUAAACUAACAUGAACCCAUCACCACUACUGAAUGAUUUUAUAUAAAUAUAAAAAACACCAUGCUAGAACUAGUAACAAGAAUUUAAUAUUCUCCAAAAUAUAAGCAUAAACCAAAAUGGAUCCUCCAUUGGUAUUUAACGAAAAUGAGUAACUAUACAGUAACAACACAAGAAAAACCUGCAUAUAAUUAAUCGUUAAACUAACACCAGAAUAUUUCCGGAAAGAUUAAAAGAAAAAGAAGGAACUCGGCAAAUUUCAACCCCGCCUGUUUACCAAAAACAUCGCCUCUUGUAAAUAAUAAGAGGUCUAGCCUGCCCAGUGAUAAAUUUAACGGCCGCAGUACCCUAACUGCGCGAAGGUAGCAUAAUCACUUGUUCUUUAAAUAAGGACUAGUAUCAACGGCAUCACGAGGGUUGUACUGUCUCCUUUAUCUAAUCAGUGAAACUGAUCUCCCCGUGAAAAAGCGGGGAUUUACCUAUAAGACGAGAAGACCCCAUGGAGCUUUAAACCUACAGCAACUCAACUAAAUAAUCCCACACAACUAUAGAGAUAUGCCUGUCGGCUUUAGGUUGGGGUGACCAUGGAGUAAAAACUAUCCUCCAUAACGCAAAGA